GAUGAACGCUGGCGGCGUGCUUAACACAUGCAAGUCGAGCGAAGCACUUAAGUUUGAUUCUUCGGAUGAAGACUUUUGUGACUGAGCGGGCGACGGGUGAAGGUAACGCGUGGUAACCUGCCUCAUACAGGGGGAUAACAGUUAGAAAUGACUGCUAAUACCGCAUAAGACCACAGGGUCGCAUGACCCGGUGGUAAAAACUCCGGUGGUAUGAGAUGGACCCGCGUCUGAUUAGCUAGUUGGUGGGGUAACGGCUCACCAAGGCGACGAUCAGUAGCCGACCUGAGAGGGUGACCGGCCACAUUGGGACUGAGACACGGCCCAA
rnacentral:rRNA from 1 species